rnacentral:rRNA from 1 species
GUUUGAUUCUGGCUCAGGAUGAACGCUGGCGGCAUGCCUAAUACAUGCAAGUCGAACGGAGUGAAGCCUUCGGGUUUCAUUCAGUGGCGAACGGGUGAGUAAUACGCAGGGAACCUGGCCAUGGCAGGGGGAUACACUCUGGAAACGGAGCAUAAGACCCCAUAGGCAGUAAGGCGGCAUCGCCUUACUGUUAAAGAAAGCUGAAAGGCUUUGGCGAUGGAUGGACCUGCGGUGCAUUAGCUUGUUGGUGAGGCAACGGCUUACCAAGGCGAUGAUGCAUAGCCGGCCUGAGAGGGCGGACGGCCACACUGGGACUGAGACACGGCCCAGACUCCUGCGGGAGGCAGCAGUAGGGAAUUUUCGUCAAUGGGCGCAAGCCUGAACGAGCAAUGCCGCGUGAGUGAGGAAGGUCUUCGGACUGUAAAGCUCUGUUGCCGGGGAAAAAGGGGAAAUGCAGGAAAUGGCAUUUCAUGGAUGGUACCCGGCCAGAAAGCCACGGCUAACUACGUGCCAGCAGCCGCGGUAAUACGUAGGUGGCGAGCGUUAUCCGGAAUGAUUGGGCGUAAAGGGUGCGCAGGCGGUCUGUUAAGACUGAAGGCAAAGGGAUGAGCUCAACUCAUUUAUGAUUCAGAAACUGGCAGACUUGAGGACAGGAGAGGGCGGUGGAACUCCAUGUGUAGCGGUAAAAUGCGCAGAGAUAUGGAAGAACACCAGUGGCGAAGGCGGCCGCCUGGCCUGUGACUGACGCCGAGGCACGAAAGCGUGGGGAGCAAAUAGGAUUAGAUACCCUAGUAGUCCACGCCGUAAACGAUGAGGAGCAGGUGUUGGGAGUGAAAUCUCAGUGCCGAAGCCAACGCAGUGACUCCUCCGCCUGGGGAGUAUGCACGCAAGUGUGAAACUCAAAGGAAUUGACGGGGGCCCGCACAAGCGGUGGAGUAUGUGGUUUAAUUCGAAGCAACGCGAAGAACCUUACCAGGUUUUGACAUCGGAUGCGAAGGCGCAGAGAUGCGCUGGAGGCUAUCAUCCAGACAGGUGGUGCAUGGUUGUCGUCAGCUCGUGUCGUGAGAUGUUCAGUUAAGUCUGGCAACGAGCGCAACCCCCGUGGUAUGUUACUAACGCAUUUGGGCGAGGACUCAUAUCAGACUGCCGGUGACAAACCGGAGGAAGGCGGGGAUGACGUCAAAUCAUCAUGCCCCUUAUGACCUGGGCUACACACGUACUACAAUGGCGUCUACAGAGGGAAGCGACCCUGAGAAGGGAAGCGAAACCGGAAAAGGGCGUCCCAGUUCGGAUUGAAGUCUGCAACCCGACUUCAUGAAGAUGGAAUCGCUAGUAAUCGCGGAUCAGCAUGCCGCGGUGAAUACGUUCCCGGGCCUUGUACACACCGCCCGUCAAACCAUGGAAGCCGGCAACGCCCGAAGCCGGUGGCAUAACCUUUUAGGAGUGAGCCGUCGAAGGCGGGGCCGAUGACUGGGGUUAAGUCGUAACAAGGUAGCC